AAAUUUUCAUAUAGGAUAGAAGUCAGGAAGAUGUCUUUAUAUUGUCUUACAAGCAUCUUAAGACACAGAAGAUAGUUCUGGUUUAUAUGUAUAGGCUAUAAUUUGUUAAUGCGAUAGUAUACAUUGAAUCCUUACUUUCAAAAUAAAAGAAUAUGGGCAAACUCCUUCACCACACAAAACUUGGGAUCUUUAGAAACAACAUACGCCAUUUGUAUUUAUUUGUGCAUUGAUAUGGAUUUGUUCUCCAUAUCCUUGUACAAUCCCCUCUUGAAGCACAACAGGAUUGACAUACUGUGAUAAUUUUCUUUGAGGUUCUAUGUUUUCUAGGCUUGAGCUUCAUGGCGUAGUUUGAGCAGAGACACAGUAGAUGGCAGUGCGUAACAUAAAUUACCUCUUCUGCACAUUCCUGUUCCCAGCAGUAGCUGUCCGGAGCCAGUGAGAUUACCCCCUGCUCCCUGGCUCCGUUAGGAGGAAAGGAGAAGGCUUCUGCAAAGCAAUUUAGAAACAUCACCUUUGCUUGGUCCAGACUGCUGAAUCAGUGAAGGCAACUACCACUGAUCUAAACAGCUUAAUCACUGGUAAGGGUCUCUGAAGGCCUCCUACCUUCUUACAGACUGGGGUUUUCAGCAGAUGCCAGUGUAUUUUUGUUUUCACCCAUGACUUUUUCUUCCACUUAGAAGAUCAUUAACAAAUUUAAAUAAACCCUUUGAUUCACAUUCUUAAUAUGUUCAGUGCUUCAAAAUAGGCAACUUGCCCAUUGGACUCAUUUCUUCCCAUUCAUACUCAUAGCUUUUUUUUUUUUUUUUUUUUUUUUUUUUUUUUUUUUUUAUGUGGAUAUUAGAACUCUCAUUCCUGGUGCCUAGUGACUUUUGAACUUAUAUCUCGUACUGAAAUAAUAAUAGCAUUAUUUGGAAGUUCCCAGUUCCUGAGAUAUUCUUCAUCAAUUUGAUCUAGAGCAAGGGUCUGAAAUAGGAGAAAAAAGAGGAUGGAGGGGAAAGGAAGGAAACAGGACUUUCCUGAAUGCAUAGGAAACUAACAAUACUGCUAUGGUGCCAAGGAUUGGCAAAACAAGGAGGAAAACCUCUGAAUUAGAAAAUUUUAAUUGGAAAGCAUUGCUUUCAGUUAUUGCAUUUAGUUAUAGAUUCAUUCUAGAGAGAAUCCAUUGAAGGUUAUCAUUCUGAAGAUGAUUUCAGAAUUAUAUUUUUCAGGUGGAUCAUGAAAUGACAGAAACAUGGGAUAGUCCAGAAGGCUGACUGUUUAUUCUCUGCCUGGGAAAGAAGCAGCCAGCAGCACAUCUUCUGAUACUACUUCUAAGCACAGAAAGAUUUCACCUCCCAUCACAGUGAAGGUGCAUCACAAGUCUCUAGAGAAUUUUGAAAGAGGAUGAUCAAAAGCUGCUUCUGUGUGGAAAUCAGCUAAUACAAUUAGGAAGCUUCAGGAUAGAAGCCAUGUUGUCUGCCCUCUGCUUGGUUUCAGACAUCUCACAUUUUUCCAUGAUUUGUCAAAGGAAAGAAAUCUUUCUUUCGCUGCCCAGACCACUUCAUAAAGAAGAUACAGAUCUUCCCCUUGUCUGCUAUUCAGCACAUCUUCAGCAGCUGAAGGAGGCCUUGGUGCCACGUAAGCAAAGAGCAGGAAAGCUCACGGUGAGAGCCUUCUGGAGCUUUAAAUGCCAGAGUAUUCUUAUGCAAAACAAAUGUCUGUUACCUCAUACCUCAUACUAUGGGUUUAAUGUCUGUUAUUUUCAACUUUCACCAUUUUAUUAAAAUAAAAUAAAUAUCUUAUUUAUUUAUUUAUUUAUUUAUUUAUUUUGGCCUGUCUGUUUUUAAUUUCUUCAUGUAUAUCUGAAAUGAGGAGGAACUGUUUCAGAAGACUUGAAAAAAUAUAGAAUCAAGAAAGAAACCCCCCCCCUUUUUUUUUUUUUUUUUUUUUCACAGUUUUAGAGUUUUAGUAUAAGGUUCAGGCAGCUUAUUUGAGCUGCUCAGUUCUGAUGUCAUAACACCUUAAAAAGGAGGCAUGCAGCCUUGACUGAUGGUUCAGGAUACUCCAGACUGAUGCAUGAGCUCACUAUAGUGAUAGACAGAAUGGGUGCAGAAGUGUAGCCCCAAAAUAUCUGUUAGAGUGCAGCCCAUGGGGUCACCAGUUUCCCUCUGGAUGGAGCUCAUGAGGUUGAACCAGUGUUGUGCAUUUUGUGAUUCCCAUAAUGUGGGAUGCUGAGUUUUGGGGAAGCAUUUGCCUGUUGAAAUUGUGUUUCGUUUUUCUUUUCUUAUGGAAAAAGCCCAAGGUCCCUCCGUGCCACAUCACUCUGUCAUGAGAGAGCUUUGGCAGGAGCAAGGAAUUAAAUGACUUGGACAAGGCUGCCUUUAUGCAUUCGCAGGUGUCUAAGUUGAGGUAUGCAUGGAAUUUCAUAGACCAGCCUGGAUCUUAUUUUCAGUCACAUAUCAAAAUGUUUGCUGUGCCUACUUAGCACAUAUCACACAAAAAAUAUGCCAAACAUGGAAGCAAUGAAAGUCUGAAUCAGAGAAUGUCACCUUUUAAAACCCAUUAAUAAAGCUUUCAAAAAUAAAAAUAAGUGUAAUUCAUUACCCUAAAAUGUAACCUUUAAUCUUUUCAAGGCUGGCAUGAGCCCUAACCAUAGAUUUUGGAGUAAUUAAAUGAUCAUAUAAUAGUAAAAUAUUUAUGUGGGCUUUCACAACUAAAUUUUAGACCUGAUGGGCUUUUCAGUAUGAUCUAAUGGCUGGUGCACAGAAGCUGUUGUUAGGACUCCCAGGCUCUGUUUCUCCUUUCUGCCAAGAUUUACAGCUAAUGAGAUGCUAUUUUCUGCAUUGCCUGGCUAGUGCAAAACUGUAUUUGUUAGGGGUUGUUUUUAUGAGCUAAGAUUUACAGUUUCUAACGAUCACAUGCAAAGUAAACCUUUUAUUUACUUAACCACCGUGGAAAACUGCAUGUAACAAAAUCAUCAUAUAAUUCUUGCUGCAGAAGCACAGCUGUUUUAUAGCCACUGUGAUUUUUUUAGACUUAUACAAAGAACCAAAUCUUGUCACCUUUGCUUAUGUGGAGUGGAAUCUUUGCAAGCAGUCCUGUAGAGAUGAUUUUUCAGUUUCAUGAGUUAUUUCCUGAGACUUUGGUGGAGCAGAAGUCUGAAAGCUGAAAAAAGUGGAAUGGACAAUAUUUUCAGUGCCAAGGAGCAAAGUGAUCUAUUCUGUUCAGACCAUUGUUUGGAUUUGGGCAUAUCCCACACAGCUGCAGCCACUCUAUCCAAGGGAAGAGGACCUCUACCAGCUUGCUGAAUAGUAAAGCAGAGUAGUUACAUAGCAAAUUCAAGCAAGAGGGAAAACUAACAUGAAGAAUGAGGACAGGAGUUUUGAUAUAAAACUUCAUGGAUUGCAAAAUGAAAGCACUCAAAUAACAUAAUAAAAAAAGAGCAGGUUUGCUGGACAGUGAAGAAGGGGCAGAAUAUGCACUCAUGAAUGUGGAUUACUAUUCAGCAUCUGGGUCUAAGUCUUUGCAGAUAUGGAAAAAAUGUUGGAUCAGUGACCAUCCAUUUCCAGAUGGCAAGUGAAAUGUAUAUUUAGAUAACAUGAUACCCCAGUCCUGUAGCAUAUAUCACAUGGAGUCAGGCCCAUUGGGGCUUUUGGAAAGAAAUGGAGAUCAUAUGAAAAAGUCAGAGUCAUCGUUAAAACUCAGGGCAUGUAACAACCCUGCCAGUUCUCAAAACA